rnacentral:rRNA from 1 species
UACGUAGGGUGCAAGCGUUAAUCGGAAUUACUGGGCGUAAAGCGUGCGCAGGCGGUUAUGCAAGACAGAUGUGAAAUCCCCGGGCUCAACCCGGGAACUGCGUCCGAUACUGGUGGGCUUGAAUCCGGGAGAGGGAUGUGGAAUUCCAGGUGUAGCGGUGAAAUGCGUAGAUAUCUGGAGGAACACCGGUGGCGAAGGCGGCAUCCUGGACCGGUAUUGACGCUGAGGCGCGAAAGCCAGGGGAGCAAACGGG